rnacentral:rRNA from 1 species
GAUGAACGCUGGCGGCGUGCCUAAUACAUGCAAGUCGAGCGAACAGACGAGGAGCUUGCUCCUCUGACGUUAGCGGCGGACGGGUGAGUAACACGUAGAUAACCUACCUAUAAGACUGGGAUAACUUCGGGAAACCGGAGCUAAUACCGGAUAAUAUAUUGAACCGCAUGGUUCAAUAGUGAAAGACGGUUUUGCUGUCACUUAUAGAUGGAUCCGCGCCGCAUUAGCUAGUUGGUAAGGUAACGGCUUACCAAGGCAACGAUGCGUAGCCAACCUGAGAGGGUGAUCGGCCACACUGGAACUGAGACACGGUCCAGACUCCUACGGGAGGCAGCAGUAGGGAAUCUUCCGCAAUGGGCGAAAGCCUGACGGAGCAACGCCGCGUGAGUGAUGAAGGUCUUCGGAUCGUAAAACUCUGUUAUUAGGGAAGAACAAAUGUGUAAGUAACUAUGCACGUCUUGACGGUACCUAAUCAGAAAGCCACGGCUAACUACGUG